AGGGCGGCAAAAAAUUUAAGGGCAACGCCUGCCCAGUGACAAUUAAACGGCCGCGGUACCCUAACCGUGCAAAGGUCAGCAUAAUCAUUUGUCUACUAAUUAUAGACCUGUAUGAAAGGCAAAAUGAGGGUCCAACUGUCUCUUAUAGUAAUCUAUUAACUGAUCUCCUAGUAAAAAAGCUAGAAUUACAACAUAAGACCAGAAGACCCUGUGAAGCUUAAUUAAACUAUUAAACCCAAUAAUAGCUAGUUUCGGUUGGGCGACCUGGAAAAAAAAGAACUUCCAAAUAAUGAUAAUAUCAUAAAACAGGCCCACAGGCAAUUACGACCAGAUAAUGAGAUUGAACAGUACUCCAGGAUACGCGAAUCUUCUUCAGAGCAUAUAAAAGAAGGUACGACUCGUGUGAUCGGCAUCUAGGUGAGAGUAUAAGUUCGUUGCACGAUACAGCUCUGUUGGUUAACCGGG
rnacentral:rRNA from 1 species